rnacentral:rRNA from 1 species
UGGGGAAUUUUGCACAAUGGGGGAAACCCUGAUGCAGCGACGCCGCGUGAUUUAGAAGGCCUUCGGGUUGUAAAAAUCUUUUCUAUGGGAAGAAAAUGACAGUACCAUAGGAAUAAGGACCGGCUAAUUACGUGCCAGCAGCCGCGGUAAUACGUAAGGUCCGAGCGUUGUCCGGAAUCAUUGGGCGUAAAGGGUACGUAGGCGCGUAAGCAAGUUAGAAGUGAAAUCCUAUAGCUCAACUAUAGUAAGCUUUUAAAACUGCUCAUCUUGAGGUAUGGAAGGGAAAGUGGAAUUCCUAGUGUAGCGGUGAAAUGCGCAGAUAUUAGGAGGAAUACCGGUGGCGAAGGCGACUUUCUGGCCAUAACCUGACGCUGAGGUACGAAAGCGUGGGUAGCAAACAGG